rnacentral:rRNA from 1 species
CUCGUAGGCGGCCAACUAAGUCAGACGUGAAAUCCCUCGGCUUAACCGGGGAACUGCGUCUGAUACUGGAUGGCUUGAGGUUGGGAGAGGGAUGCGGAAUUCCAGGCGUAGCGGUGAAAUGCGUAGAUAUCUGGAGGAACACCGGUGGCGAAGGCGGCAUCCUGGACCAAAUCUGACGCUGAGGAGCGAAAGCCAGGGGAGCAAACG